UUUAUUCUCAUCAUAUUGUAAACCCUAGCCCCCACCUAAACAAAAACACACACAUAACUUGCCUUUAUCGAAUGAGAGAUAGAGAGCCGAAGGAGAGAGAAAGUUGAGAUGCAGGCUGGUGGUCUUCGGCCACAUAGUUACGAAGGCGCCGCAUCAGCAGCUUAUGGUGGCGGCGAUAUGGCGUGGAGCGGUGGUGGUGAGGCUCAGGUGGCGGCGGCAGUUCAGGUGCGUGUGGGGAGGACUGGCUGAUGCGAUGCACUCGAGAUGGUUCUGACUCAAAUCUAGCAGCAACAACCACAAAUCUGAACUCCAUUAGCGUCGGUGUCCCUCUAGCAGCAGCGACUACGGCACCCGUCCUUAGAGCGACGGUGGUGGUGGUUUGAUGAUUCACAAGAGGCAGCGAUGGGGAGUGUCGAGUUCAGAUCGGGUCCUUAUGUGUCAAGGUUUGGAGGCGACAAUAAGUAUUGGUGUUUCUUCAUCCAUAAUUUAAAAUUUCGGUUAUACGGUAGUUACCGGCAACGGAGACGAUCACCAUCCGUCGGUUAGUGGUGAAUAGACGUGACGUUUAAUCCUUGGUGCAUAUGGUAGUGUUUAGAAACUGAGCUGUGAAGUUUUGGGUUGUUUGGAAACAAAUCCGGGUUAGCCAGUCGUCGGGUCAACCAGUCAACUAAGGUCAACUCGGUUAAACCAGUCAACACGCUUUUGAAGGGGAGUUUUAUGUGCCUAUUUUGUUGAACGAUUCGUAUGAGAAGGUAGCUUCACACGUGUGAGUAUUCUAUAUUUGAAAACGUGUAUUAUUUGUAAUAAUAGAACGUUAACGAGCUCUAGUGAACCCAACCCGACUAGUAGGAUUGUAGAAUAAUAUGUUAAUUGUACGCGAGAUAAUCUAAUUAAUCGGACUUGUACACGUC